UGGGCCUUUGGCUUCCUGUCACACAGCCGUGCGACAAGGGGCAGGUUUCUGAAGGACCAGAGAGAAAAGGGGUCUGUUGUUCUCGGGGGCACAGGCUUGCUGGUGGCAUCCCGCACAGACACUCUCUCCUCACAGCUCCCACCACGGGGACUGGAGGCAGGAGGAGCCGACGGGCCCCUGGAACGGCCGCGGUGCGUCCAGAGGUGGGAGCCGCAAGCCCGAGGAUCGGCCGAGUCCCAGGGGACCCUAACGGAGGCCGGGCUGGAAGGCCAAGGUGGCUGCCACGUGGGAAGGUAUCCUUGACGUCCAGACCCUGGAGAAGGAGUCGGGAGCCACCACCCAAAGCAACUGUCCAGGAAAAGUGGUCGCGCUUCAGCCAUCGCGCUGGGCUAGGUCUUCCAAGCGAACCCCCUGUUGGAGCCUCUGCCGUCUAACGUCACCUAAUGUAGCCGAACCUGCCAAGACCCUGGCUACUUCACUGGAACCCAGACCAGGGCGAUCCCCGAGUGUUGCGAGCCCACCUUCCUCUUCCUCGACGGUGGCUCCAGCCCCUUCAUGUCGCCUCCAAGCUCCUGCCCAAGUGUUCCCACCCGCACUGCUGGGAGCAGCUCCUCUGUGUUUUCAGGGCCACUUUGCUGUCGUCCUUUGAAGGUUCUCUUGGCGACUCUAGGAAGACUCCAUGGUACAGGUGACCUUCUGUAUCUGUGGAGGAUCGGUUCCCAGAUACCCCCGCCCACGGAUCCCAAAAUCCCAGGAGCCAAGCCUUGUCUAAAGUGCCGGAGUGCAGCCUGGCCUCCAGAACGCGUGAGAACAGAGCAGCCGUACUCUGUUUCCAACGAACCGAUGGCCAAAGCCCCGCUGUGCGUGUUCUCUAUGGACUGAACAGCCAGUGGCCCUGUAGCAGUGAAGCCUCACACCGUCCUCCAGGCUGGAAGGGACCCUUGAGUCACAGAACUUGCCAGUUUGCAAACAUGUCUCUAGUUGUAACAACUUUCAUCUGUCAAAUGAGGGCUCUUCAUUUCUAAGGUUCUAGAAGCCGGCCGUGGUCAUUUAGUCCCUCAGCUGGGUGUACUGAAAUCUGGGCCAGAGGCACAGCUUCCUCGCUAAGACACCCCCCCACCCCAGCACCCUGUACACACACACAGGCAGAGGCCAAGCUGCCUGCCUCCCCGCACCCCCUAGAAUGCUAACCACUGGGGACCGAGGGGCAGUUCCUACCUUUUACAUCCUUACAUACUGAAUCUGGCGCUGGCUCCUGGGCUGCAUCUUCUUAACUGCAAACACUCUAUACCAUCCCUCUCUGGUUCCACCAGCCACCACCCUCCUUCCGUGUCCUCCUCUGAACGUGCCUGAUAAAGGCUUUUGAGUGACUGAAUGAGUGGACGGCUCCCAUCUUCUGUCAUCUCAAUGAGUGCUGCUCCCCAGCUGACUGGAACCAGACGCCCUAGUUCCCAGGCUGGGUUUCCCUCCAGAUGUGUUCUCCUGCGGUGUCGGUUCCACCGUUAAACAGCUGUAUCGCUCAGCAGGUACGCAACGUUGAUGCGCCUCCAUUUCCUCCUCUGCAGAAUUGUGGGCGUUCCUGUCGUGGCUCAGCAGAAUCCGGCUUGUAUCCACGAGGAUGCGGGUUCUAUCCCUGGCCUCGCUCGGUGAAUCUGGGAUCCAGCCUUGCCGUGAGCUGUGGUGUAGGCCGGAAGCUGUAGCUCCAAUUUGACCCCUAGCCUGGAAACUUCCAUAUGCUGAGGGUUCGGCCUUAAAAACAACAACAACAACAAAAUAGUACUUACGUCAUAGGGUUGCUGUCAGCAUUAAAUGAGAGAGUCUGUUAAAAACGCCGAGAACAUUGCCUGGCAAUAUACAUUGCAGAAUACUCAAUAAAUAUUAGCUGGUGUUAUUUCAUACUUCAUCAAAC
rnacentral:lncRNA from 1 species